GGGCCCUUAGCUCAGUUGGUAGAGCGCGUGACUUUUAAUCACUAGGUCGCUGGUUCGAACCCAGCAGGGCUCACCA
rnacentral:tRNA from 2 species